rnacentral:rRNA from 1 species
CAAUAGCGUAUAUUAAAAUUGUUGUAGUUAAAACGUUCGUAGUUGUAUGUCUGUUAUGCGUCUGAAUGGUCCGCUUCGGUGUGUGCCGUUCGUCCAUGACAUCCGUUUGCACAAUUCGUUGAGCAAACCGUUCACUUUGAGGAAAUUAGAGUGUUCAAAGCAGGCGUUGCCUUGAAUACUUCAGCAUGGAAUGAUAGAUAGGACUUCCGUUCUAUCCGUUGGUUCUAGGGGCGUGAGGUAAUGAUAAAUAGGGUCGGUCGGGGACAUUCCUACUGAGCAGUCAGGGGUGAAAUCCUGUAAUUUGCUCAUGAGGCACUACUGCGAAAGCAUUUGUCAAGGACGACCCCAUUAA